rnacentral:rRNA from 1 species
CUGCAGCCCGAGUGGUGAUCGAUUUUAUUGAGCCUAAAGCGUCCGUAGCCGGACUAGUAAACCCUUGGGUAAAUUGGGCAGCUUAACUGUCCAAAUUCCGAGGGGACUGCUAGUCUUGGGACCGGGAGAGGUCAGAGGUACUCCAGGGGUAGGGGCUAAAUCCUGUAAUCCUUGGGGGACCACCAGUGGCGAAGGCGUCUGACUAGAACGGAUCCGACGGUAAGGGACGAAACCCUGGGGCGCAAACCGGAUUAGAUACCCGCGUAGUCC